rnacentral:rRNA from 1 species
AGAACGAACGUUGGCGGCGUGGAUUAGGCAUGCAAGUCGAACGAAUCUCACUGCUGUAGCAAUACAGAGGUGGGGGAAGUGGCGAAAGGGGCAGUAAGGCAUGGGUAACCUACCCUGGGGACGAGUAUAGCCGGCCUAACGGCCGGGUAAUCCUUGGCGAUUCGACGGAGUGGCAUCACUUUGUCGGGAAAUGAAUUUCGCCUCGGGAGGGGCUCAUGUGAUAUUAGCUAGUUGGCGGGUAACGGCCCACCAAGGCGAAGAUGUCUAGCGGGUGUGAGAGCACGACCCGCGCCACUGGCACUGAGACACUGGCCAGACACCUACGGGUGGCUGCAGUCGAGGAUCUUCGGCAAUGGGGCGCAAGCCUGACCGAGCGACGCCGCGUGUGCGACGAAGGCCUUCGGUUGUAAAGCACUGUCGAGAGGAGGAAGCCGUAAGGUGACCGACUUCGUGGAGAGCGACGGCUAAGUUCG